UACGGAGGGUGCAAGCGUUGUUCGGAAUUAUUGGGCGUAAAGCGCGUGUAGGCGGUCAUCUAAGUCUGGUGUGAAAUCCUGGGGCUCAACCCCAGAAGUGCACUGGAUACUGGACGACUAGAGGACGAGAGAGGAAAGUGGAAUUCCUGGUGUAGGGGUGAAAUCCGUAGAUAUCAGGAGGAACAUCAGUUGCGAAGGCGGCUUUCUGGCUCGUUUCUGACGCUGAGACGCGAAAGCGUGGGGAGCAAGCAGG
rnacentral:rRNA from 1 species